rnacentral:rRNA from 1 species
UACAGAGGGUGCAAGCGUUGUUCGGAAUUAUUGGGCGUAAAGAGCUUGUAGGCGGUUUGUCGCGUCUGCUGUGAAAUUUCGGGGCUCAACCCCGAACUUGCAGUGGGUACGGGCAGACUAGAGUGCGGUAGGGGUGACUGGAAUUCCUGGUGUAGCGGUGGAAUGCGCAGAUAUCAGGAGGAACACCGGUGGCGAAGGCGGGAUCCUGGGCCAGUACUGACGCUGAGGAGCGAAAGCGUGGGGAGCGAACAGG